UUACCCGCUGAACUUAAGCAUAUCAAUAAGCGGAGGAAAAGAAACCAACAGGGAUUGCCCCAGUAACGGCGAGUGAAGCGGCAACAGCUCAAAUUUGAAAUCUGGCCUCGGCCCGAGUUGUAAUUUGCAGAGGAUGCUUCGGGCGCGGCGCCUUCCAAGUCCCCUGGAACGGGGCGCCAUAGAGGGUGAGAGCCCCGUGCGGCUGGAUGCCUAGCCUGUGUGAAGCUCCUUCGACGAGUCGAGUAGUUUGGGAAUGCUGCUCAAAAUGGGAGGUAGACCCCUUCUAAAGCUAAAUACCGGCCAGAGACCGAUAGCGCACAAGUAGAGUGAUCGAAAGAUGAAAAGCACUUUGAAAAGAGGGUUAAACAGCACGUGAAAUUGUUGAAAGGGAAGCGCUCGUGACCAGACUUGCGCCGGGGUGAUCAUCUGGCGUUCUCGCCCGUGCACUCGCCCCGGCUCAGGCCAGCGUCGGCUCGCGCGGGGGGAUAAAGGCGCCGGGAACGUAGCUCUUCGGAGUGUUAUAGCCCGGCGUGUCAUGCCCCCGCGAGGGCCGAGGUUCGCGCUCUGCAAGGACGCUGGCGUAAUGGUCACUAGCGACCCGUCUUGAAACACGGACCAAGGAGUCGAGGUUCUGCGCGAGUGUUUGGGUGUCAAACCCGCACGCGUAAUGAAAGUGAACGUAGGUGGGAGCUUCGGCGCACCACCGACCGAUCCUGAUGUUCUCGGAUGGAUUUGAGUAGGAGCGUGGGGCCUCGGACCCGAAAGAUGGUGAACUAUGCUUGGAUAGGGUGAAGUCAGAGGAAACUCUGAUGGAGGCUCGCAGCGGUUCUGACGUGCAAAUCGAUCGUCAAAUCUGAGCAUGGGGGCGAAAGACUAAUCGAACCAUCUAGUAGCUGGUUACCGCCGAAGUUUCCCUCAGGAUAGCAGUGUUGUCUUCAGUUUUAUGAGGUAAAGCGAAUGAUUAGGGACUCGGGGGCGCCAUAUUGCCUUCAUCCAUUCUCAAACUUUAAAUAUGUAAGAAGCCCUUGUUACUUAGCUGAACGUGGGCACUCGAAUGCAUCAACACUAGU
rnacentral:rRNA from 1 species